UUCUGUAACUGCCCCCAAAAGGCAGUUUUCGCAGAACACCGGCGCAUUUCAAAGCUAGUUUAACGGCCAAUGUUUUAAUGCAAAAUAAUAACAAUAAUAAUAAUAAUGUAAUACGGAAAAUAUUUAAGAAGCGAAAGCUGAUAUUUAAGCCGUAAACAAAUCUUUAACUUACACUUUACCCUCUUUGACACAAGAUGGCGCCUUGGCGGUUGAAACGUUGUUUGAACUCAGCCGAAGAAGAAGCGGGAGCGUCUAAGUAAACAGACCCAGCGGAACAUGGAGAGUCUCAGCCGGGGGACCGUGGACAGGAUUUAUUCUGCGGUCCUACUGGGUCUGGUGGUUCUGUCCUGGUCUUAUGUGAUCUACGCCAGCAGGAUCGCAGCUUAUUGGCUGCUGGAGAAACGGACCGGCCUGCUGCAGGAGGACUGACGGCGCCGCUGCAGGUUGGUGCUGGGAGAUGUUCUGGUUCUGGACCAGAAACUACCAGCUACAGGAAUGAACCAACAGAAUUAUUCUGGAAACCACGACUGGCAGUUUAUUGUUACAGCGUCCAGUGGACCCGGAGGAGAUGUUCUGGAGAACCGCAGCCUGAGAAGAGCUGAGAGUCCAGCAGGUUUCUGGAUCAGAACUGACAACGAAUCCAGGUCUGAACAGAAACCAAGAGAAGAUUCAGUUUAAACUGAAACUUUAAAAUGAUUCAGUUCAAACUGAAAGUUUAAAAUAAUUCAGUUCAAACUUAAACUUUAAAAUGAUUCAGUUCAAACUGAAACUUUAAAAUGAUUCAGUUUAAACUGAAACUUUAAAAUGAUUCAGUUCAAACUGAAACUUUAAAAUGAUUCAGUUCAAACUGAGGAAGACAGAAACUUCUUCAAUUCAUCGUUCAGUUUGGAUUCAGAGGUUCACUGAUCCGAUGAUCUGCAGCCGUUCAGAUCUGUGAAUCUUUGUUUGUCUAUUAGUUUGAAGAACAAAAAAAAACCAUUUUCAGUAAAAAUGUCUUCACUAAAACUGAAAUCAAUUAGUUUGGAGGAAACGUUUCAGUUAAACUGCACUGUUUGAGGAUAUUUAAUUAUUACCUCAAAGGUUGUUUAUUUUUAACAGAAGACUGUUAAGAGAAGUCGAGUGGCUGAAAACCUUUAAAGUUGUUUGUGACACAAAGUUUGCCAGAAUAAAUGAAACCUGUGAAAACAAACCGCAGUCAGGAUGUUGGACACGAUGAUGAUGAUGAUGAUGAUGAUGAUGAUGAUGAUGAUGAUGAUGAUGAUGUUGGACAUAAAUUUGUCAGCUAAAAUGUUAGAUUUGUUCUUUGAGUUCAUGUUUAUAUGAAACAUAAUUAAUGAUUUUAACGAUAGAAGUAAAACAAAACAAGUUCAUGUAAACAUUUCCAGAUCUGUUCAUUAAAAUGUUUCUGUUGA